CCAAUAGCGUAUAUUAAAGUUGUUGCAGUUAAAAAGCUCGUAGUUGAACUUCGGGGUCUACCCAUUGGUCAGGCUUAAUUGUCUGCACUGGUGAGAUGGAUCUCUACCUUCUGAGGAACUUUCAUGCCAUUUAUUUGGUGUGAUUGGAAAUCAGGACUGUUACUUUGAAAAAAUUAGAGUGUUUAAAGCAGACUAUCGUCUGAAUACAUUAGCAUGGAAUAAUGAAAUAGGACGGACUGAUUCUAUUUCGUUGGUUUCUAGGAUCACCGUAAUGAUUAAUAGUGAUAGUUGGGCGCAUUAGUAUUCAAGUGUCAGAGGUGAAAUUCUUGGAUUUAUUGAAGACUAACUACUGCGAAAGAAUUUGCCAAGGAUGUUUUCAUUAAUCAAGAACGAAAGUUAGGGGAUCGAAGACGAUCAGAUACCGUCGUAGUCUUAACCAUAAACUAUGCCGACUAGGGAUCGGACGAAGUUAAUUUUAUAAUGACGCGUUCGGCACCUUACG
rnacentral:rRNA from 1 species